rnacentral:pre_miRNA from 2 species
GAAUUCAGAUGAAAAAGUCAUCAACAACAAAGUUGUAUAACUCAUCAAGAUCUAUAACUUAUAUUACAUUCAUUUCCUCAUCCGACAAAGUGAUGGAAACAUUUUCACAAAAUUUACAUAUCUCUCUCCAUAGUUUAUAAAACUAUAUAAGAGAUAUACAUUUUGUGAACAAUGUUACAGAUAACUUUGUUGGAUGAAGAAAUGACCAAAAUAAAAGUUAUAGAUCCUGAUGAGUUAUACAACUUUGUUGUUGAUGACUUUUUCAGUUGAAAUC